GGGGAUUUAGCUCAGUGGUAGAGUGCUUGCCUGCAAGCGCAAGGCCCUGGGUUCGGUUCCCAGCUCCG
rfam:Rattus norvegicus chromosome 10, whole genome shotgun sequence.